AACACAGAGUGUCUUUGUCACCUUCCCUUGCUUCACAGACCUCAAGAGGACUUACCACCUCCAUUUCUGCCUGCAGCUGUACCUUUCUGCCCAAGUAGCAACACAAAAUCAGCAUCUUUAAUUCUCAUUUCCUAUCUAACACUCCUUUCUCACCAUUCCUCUCUUUGGAAAUCUCAGUUCCCUUUCUAGGGAAAGGGUAUGAGUGUGUAAGAAGGAGGAUAAGGGAGGGGGGUAAGGUAGAAGGGGAACACAUGGCCAGUCACUCCCUCAACUCAACACCGAGUAGAGUAAUUGCUUCUAUACAUGGAACUCGUACAUGGCGCACGCGAUCAUUGUUUUGCACACUUACUUAAUCCUCCCAACAGCCCCCGUAGAGGCAGGCACUAUCCCUAUUUUGCAGGUGAGGAGACAGACUCAAAGAAGUUGCUUGAGUUCAUACUGCUAGUUCCUGGACUUAGUUCGACUUGAAGCAUCCAAGAACCAUACUACAAAUAGCAGAGCCAGCCUCCAAGCCCAGAAUGCGCAUCCCCAAGGUGGCACUCCCUGUACCCGCCUUCGACUUCCGCCCUCUAGUCAACUUUAGGACAGGAGUAGACAUCUUCAUGCUUGCAACAGCUUUAUGUGCAGCUGCCUGGAGUUCUAGUCUAAAAACUCCCUCAGCUUUGGGCCUUCACACAGGAAAGAGCAAGAGAAGGAAAUGAGCCCAGAGUCAACAGGAAGAGGGAAGGGAAGGCGGUGAGGAGACCAUGUGUCUCCAGGCUACAGGUGAGACAGGCACGGGGCUGGAACCUGGGCACCCCGAGUUCCAGUACCAGCUCCCUCCCUGCCUGAGGGGCCUUCAGUCUAUACCAGAGGCUACAAACAGGCAUUCUGCUGGUUGGCAUCCAACCUGCAGGUCUGUUUCUUCGAUCCUUAGAGCAUUUUUAAAUAAUGGAAUUAGUUUCCAAUAUUUAAAUUGGAAAGUUGCAUGUAAAAUUUGGAUUUGGAGCUUCUGAAAACCGAGGGACUGACGCUGGUCCUCAUUUCUAAAGGAUAACAUUCAGGGGGAGCCAAGUGCAGCCGCCGCUGAGCAGGGCAGGCGUGUGCUCGACCGUUCGCAGAACCUGUGUUGGUCACUGAAACGCUGGCUGGGCUCCUGUUUUCAGUUUGGACUCUUGGUCUUGACUAUAGCGUGAAUGAUCUUUCCAUGUUCUCUUCUUCCACAUAAAAGGAAAGAGAGGGAACUGGAAAGUGUGCCAAAAGACAGAGCAGGCACUGUAAUUAUCCGUCAAGGGAGAAAAGUUGAACUAGUCCAGGCCUGAAACCACUUGCAUACGUUGGCUCAGAUGCCUUCACUCAGGGACGGCUGUUCACUUGGGGGUUGGGAGGUAAGAGUGUGUGUGAGAAGAACUGUUAUGUUAAGUCGUUGCCCAAAAUCUUUCUCGUGUUGGGGUACAUUGCUGUUUAUCAAGGAAUCCCUUCUAGAGCAUAUACGGGGAGUCAGGGCACCCCCCACGCCUGCCCUGCCUCGUGCCCCGCCCCUUUCACAGAGCAGCCGCUGAAGAAGAAGACGGGCCAGGACUCUUGUAUGGCAGGAGCUGCAGGCUGCUGGCCUUGGGGUGUCUUCCUGCCUGGCCAUCGGCAGCGGGAGGAGCCACAGCUUCCGAGGAGCUGGAGCUACAGCGUCAGGAAGUUUCACAACUUCUAGGGUAGGGACGUUUUAAGUCUUAUUGCUAAACACGGGGGCUGAUACUCUGCCCCAGUUAGUCAUGAGGCGAAGGCUCGUUCAAAGGGCGUGUGUACUCAGUGAUUCUGAGGAGGGCUGGGAAGGCCAGGACGCAGGAAGGGACACACCUUCCUCUCCAACAGUGCUGUGUAAUGAGGAUUGAGCUGCUCCCUCUGCCGGGUUCCACCACUGCCUGUGUGGCCUCGGAAAUGCCGAAUUCCCGGGACCUCAGUUAUUUCUUAUGUAAAUGGGGAAAUCCUGCCAUGAGGGCUGGUUCCAUGCCUCUUUAGUAGUUUACUGCUAGCCUCCCCCCUUGGGUGGUCCUUCUCUGCACAGAGGGUGUCAGUGGUUAACCAGUCCAGAAAUACAUCUCUAAGUAGCUCUUCUCGCUUGAGAUUAUAGUAAUGUGCUGUCUCUUGAAAGUUCCUACUGACAGCUCUAAGCAGAGCACAUGUUUUGAGUUGUUCUUCCAACACUGGAGAUAAGAUUUAUGCUAUGAACACCCAUUUUCACCACUGGGCCCUUUGGUGUGUCUGCGGCACUGUCAGGAAAUAAGCUGACAGAAUCAAAGGGCUGUGUCCUCAAUUGUCAGCUGAGCUCUGAGCUAAUCAGAAAGAUGACUCUUGCUGCAAAAAUCUGCAUUUUCAAGGCUCCUACUUUUCAAGAGAGCUACCUUAGUUAGCUCACGGCCAAGGAAUGAGAAUGAAUUCCAGUGGGGUGUGUGCUGUAUAGACCAGUUGUGCUUAUUCAUUCAGAUGAGAUAUGGGAGGCCCCAGAGCCUGCCCAUAGGGGCUGACUGGCCUAGGACAGUUGGAUGACCCCCACAUAAGCUAGGUGCUGCUCCAAAAGGAAAAUGCUCAGGAGGAGGGAGCUGACACUCACUGAGCAUCGGCUCUGUGUCAGGCACCAGGCGAGGAUCUUCAUGCAGCAGGCGACUCCCCCUAGAAUCCUUAGGAACGGAACACUGUCAUCCCCAUUUUACAGACGAAGCAGCUCGGGCUUAAAGAGUCAGUCAUCUCAACUCACUAGCGGACAAAAAUAAAAGUGGCUCCGAAGAGAGGAGGAAAGAAGAAAUGCCUUCGCUGAAACCGAUUAUCGGUUGCGCUCCUGUAUGCGCACCUCGGCGCUAAGGAUGUGGAUACGAGGCAGAGGAAGAUGCUGACCCUGCUUAAGGAACUCACGGUGUAGUCAAGGAGACCAGCCCGUAAACACUGGGCGCAGCAGACAGGCGAACCGUUUUUCUCCUUAUGUCUAUCCACCCUCCUGCCCAGUCUUUACAUCUCACGGCUCCCUCUGGCCAUGAGAGGUUAAAAGUUACCAGGUUGGCGCCUGAGUUUGCUUGGGAAAUUCCUGGAUUCCAGGAACCCCUGCCCAGCAAUUCCUACCCGGAAAGUCCCACGGAGGUGCCUCCUCUCCCAUUUCCAGUGAGGCAUCCCCGGUGUGACCCUCGCCUCAGUCCCAGCUCUGGCCCAGCUCCUCCCCCCUGCACAGCAGCACGACCCUUCUCUCUGUCUUCUCUGUUCUCCACGAGCGUCCCCUGCUCUUCAUUUCUCCAGGCUGCCCCCAGACCAAGGCCAGUGAAAACACAUGCGGAAACCUUGUUCCAAUUCUCGGUAUCAAGCUAGCGCUUCCUGAGUGGGAAACAUCGAGCCUCUGAGAGUCUAGCCAAGGCCUAGGCUGACUGGAAGUCCCCUCCCUGCCAGCAAUUCGGAGAUCUGAUAAACUCCAUCUGGGAAGGAAGUGGGGAGUGGAGGGAUCUCCCUAGAGAAUGCUAAUGCCUGAGAGAUUCGAAGUCUCUAAGAGGUAGAGACCAAGACAUGACAGCUACACACAGGGAUCAACUCAGCUGUGAACAUCUUAUAAAGAACAACCUAGCGCUUACCAAGACUGCCUGAUAAGGGGAGCAUGACUUCAAGAAGUUAAGAAACUAACCUAAGGGGAACCACGUAAGGAAAGAUGGAAGGUCAGGACUCGAGCCUCAUUCCGCUCAUUUCAACACCGAUGCUUUCAACCACUGCAGAAUUCUGCAGCCCCUGAGGUCAAAGACUAUGUCUUGUUUGUCUAUAUCUUCCCGAUGCUUGGCAAACAGCUGACACACGAUAAAUGUUUGUUGAAUGAGUAAGUGGAUAGAUGAGAUGUGUUUGCCAUUAAGGAUGAUGGGCUUGACCUCCAUACCAUUAUACUCCUUCCUGCCCUGUCCUCGCCCUCUCUCCCUCCCUCAGCCUUGCACGAGCAGAAUCCUAUCAGCAUCUGCCCUGACUUCUCGGCCUGGGCUGUCCCGGGAUCACAUCAUACCCUUCUCAGAGCUAAAUCAGAAACCUUCCUCGACCUUAGGCAGCAAUCACGUUGAGAGGCAGAAGCAGGGGAGCCGGAACAGCUUCCUUGAGAGGUUUAGCGCAGACCGAGACCCAGAGGUGGGAGGGCGAGGACACGGGUCCUACAGCCUGAUUUCCUUCAAGGACCCUCCAGCUGUCCCGUUGUACCCAGGGAAGCCAGUCAGUCCAGGUCGGCUGCUCAGCGACU